rnacentral:rRNA from 1 species
CCUACGGGUGGCAGCAGUGAGGAAUAUUGGUCAAUGGUCGGGAGACUGAACCAGCCAAGCCGCGUGAGGGAUGAAGGUACAGAGUAUCGUAAACCUCUUUUGUCAGGGAACAAAUGCGGGGACGUGUCCCCGGAUGAGUGUACCUGAAGAAAAAGCAUCGGAUAACUCCGUGCCAGCAGCCGCGGUAAUACGGAGGAUGCGAGGGUUAUCCGGAUUUAUUGGGUUUAAGGGGUGCGAAGGCGGUCUGUAAAGUCAGCGGUAAAAGCCCGGGGCUCACCCCCGGCCCGCCGUUGAAACUGGCAGUCGCGAGUUGGAGAGAAGUAUGCGGAAUGCGCGGUGUAGCGGUGAAAUGCAUAGAUAUCGCGCAGAACUCCGAUUGCGAAGGCAGCAUGCCGGCUCCACACUGACGCUGAGGCACGAAAGCGUGGGUAUCGAACAGGAUUAGAUACCCGAGUAGUC